rnacentral:rRNA from 1 species
CAAUAGCGUAUAUUUAAGUUGUUGCAGUUAAAAAGCUCGUAGUUGGAUUUCGGAUGGGACUUGCCGGUCCGUCGUUUCGAUGUGCACUGGCCAGUCCUAUCUUGUUGUCGGGGACUAGCUCCUGGGCUUCACUGUCCGGGACUAGGAGCUGACGAGGUUACUUUGAGUAAAUUAGAGUGUUCAAAGCAAGCCUACGCUCUGAAUACAUUAGCAUGGAAUAACACGAUAGGACUCUGGCUUAUCUUGUUGGUCUAUAGGACCAGAGUAAUGAUUAAGAGGGACAGUCGGGGGCAUUCGUAUUCCGUUGUCAGAGGUGAAAUUCUUGGAUUUACGGAAGACGAACAUCUGCGAAAGCAUUUGCCAAGGAUGUUUUCAUUGA